GACGAACGCUGGCGGCGUGCCUAAUACAUGCAAGUUGAGCGAUGAAGAUUGGUGCUUGCACCAAUUUGAAGAGCAGCGAACGGGUGAGUAACGCGUGGGGAAUCUGCCUUUGAGCGGGGGACAACAUUUGGAAACGAAUGCUAAUACCGCAUAACAACUUUAAACAUAAGUUUUAAGUUUGAAAGAUGCAAUUGCAUCACUCAAAGAUGAUCCCGCGUUGUAUUAGCUAGUUGGUGAGGUAAAGGCUCACCAAGGCGAUGAUACAUAGCCGACCUGAGAGGGUGUUCGGCCACAUUGGGACUGAGACACGGCCCAAACUCCUACGGGAGGCAGCAGUAGGGAAUCUUCGGCAAUGGACGAAAGUCUGACCGAGCAACGCCGCGUGAGUGCAGAAGGUUUUCGGAUCGUAAAGCUCUGUUGGUAGAGAAGAACGUUGGUGAGAGUGGAAAGCUCAUCAAGUGACGGUAACUACCCAGAAAGGGACGGCUAACUACGUG
rnacentral:rRNA from 1 species